CAGCACAGAGCCUGAUGCGGGGCUUGAACUUAAAAACUGUGAGAUCAUGACCUGAGUCGAAGUCAGACGCUUAACCGACUGAGCCACCCAGGUGCCCCAGAAAUGGAGAUGUUUUUAAGAUGGCCUAGACUUGGUUUUGUUUACCAUUUGGUCUGGCUUGAACAGGAAUUAGGCUUUUUAGAGUUUCACAAGCCAUCUAACACUUAAGGCCUUAUGUCACCAACAGUUCCUUCCUUGCUAUCACACCAAGCCUACUUCCUUCUCAGCUUAUUAGCCUUAAGAGAAAUAACCAAUUUAUAUUCUACACAGCAUAUGUCAUCUUUGGCUAAUCAUUCCAUAAUAUUAUUGAUUGAAGUGAGUAUUUGUAGCGUAAGAGAGAAUAUUGAAUUCCUCUGAAUUCUAUGGUAUUGGAACCACAAUGUAGCAUAAAGAAACUAGGCUUUUUUAUUUAAAGCUAACAGAUUCUAUUAAACUCUAAUAGAUCCAUUAUUAAAGGUUCUUUAGGGGCAUUAACCUUCAUAUUUUUAUAACAGGAGGUAAAAAGAUGACUAUCAUAAAUAAAACGGCUGAUGAAAUAAUGAUAUUGAACUGAGACCCAGAGUUGCAGCACGGUUUACAACUAACUGUGGCGUUGGGGUAGAGGUGUUAUUGCAGAAUCACUAUAAUAUGUUGUAUUUAAAGACAUAAGGUCAUAUUUAUCUUUUUUUUUCCCUCUACCAUGCAAGGUGGUGAGGUCAGUGUUUACAGCCUGUUGCACACAUUUCCAGACAGCUAGUUAAGUUUCAAAUGUCACCGGGAUGGCUACACAUAUUUUUAAAUAUGCAGCCUGCACACAUUAAAAAAUCCUGUGGGAUAAAGAAAGUAUACAUAUUUUUCAGCAUUCUUAACCUGUAAGUAAGUCCUCCUUCUGCGCUUCGUACAAAAAUGUAGUUAACAAUUAUUUUUAGAGGACUUAAAUAUGUAUGUGCAAAAACCUAGAGGUUAUGGGAGAUAGAAAUUAAUUGAGAUAGGUCCUUUCUUAGUUUUUGGUUUAAUAAAGGAUUAAUUCCUUUAUUCAUUCACACCUACUCAGUGCAAAAGCAAUGACUAUACAUUAGAAGAAAACAAGAUAGAUUGAUCCUUAGUCACAUAAAACUCAUAGUCUAAUGGGAGCUACACUAAAGAAGAUAAAGAAUAUCAUGAUUGAAUUAUUUAUAGAAACAGAGUUUAAAAUAUAUCACUUUUGGCCAGGGCCAAAUAUGGAAGAUAUACUUACAAAUAUUCCAAGUCGCUAUAUGAAGUAAAUGCUGAGCAUCUUCAUUUUUGAACAGAAUGAGUCUAAGAGGAGCAGAAACCAAAUGCAGUACUGAAGAUUGCUAAAAUGGUCAUGAUUCUCUAUCCCUCCCGAUCUUCACAACUGGUACAAUAGGAUAUUGCAUGUUCUUCAGUUAAGAGAUGGAAUCUAUUUCUCUGCCCCUGAAAUUUGGGAUGCUCAGCUGUGAUGAAAAUCUGGACAAGCCAGCUGAAAGACGAGGGACCACAUAGAAGAGAGAUGAGCCAUCCCAACAGAGGCCAUCUUGAACAGCUAUCACCCCACCUAUCUCAUGCAUUGGUGAGCUCAGCAGUGACCCCAGGAACAAAUCACUUGGGUACAGUCCGAAUUGUCAGCCCACCAAAUUGUGAGCUAAAUAAAUAUUUGUGGAUUUGAA